rnacentral:misc_RNA from 1 species
UCAAAAUCAUCAUGCUAGUCCUAUGCAACCUCACUUUCAAAAAUCUUUGGAUUCAAAAACUUCUUAUGAUAAUUUUGAGGAACAACAAAAGACUGUUCGUCAAGGUCCUAAUUCACAAUAUGCUCCUGCUCAUCAGGUGCCCCAGAAUUACCAACCUCCUGCACAAACAGUCCCAUCACUGGAUACACGAAGGAUAAGCAAAUUGCAGAUUCCAACAAAUCCGAGAAUUGCGUCAAAUUUGGCUUUGGGUUUAUCAAAAACCGAUAAGGAUAGUUCUGCAACUGGUGCAGCAGCAGCAGCAAAACCUGCUUAUAUUGCUGUCUCAAUGCCAAAGCAAAGUGAUAAAGUGUUGUCUACUGAUGCGGCUGAUUCCAUACUGAAGCCUGGCAUGUUCCCCAAUUCACUACGCUUUUAUGUUGAAAGGGCUUUGAAACGUUGUCAAGAUCACUGUAAAAAUGAUCCACAAAUGGCAUCUUGUCAGGCUGUUAUGAAGGAGAUUAUUACUCAGGCAACUGCUGAUGGUACACUACACACUCGAGACUGGGAUACUGAGCCUCUUUUUCCAUUACCGAACCCUGAUUGUGCCAACAAGGAGAGCUCACAAUCUUCAACUCCUGUUGCUUCAUUACCGAAGUACAGAAGGAGUCCUAGCAAACGAUCCAAAAGUAGGUGGGAGCCUUUACCUGAGGAGAAGUUGGUUGAAAAACCUGCUUCUGUCAGUAAUGAUAAUGUAAAAUUUGGUGGCUGGGAGAGAAAGCCUUUAAUUGGGAAUUCUGAGAGCAAGGUUGACGCUUUCAGUGACCUAAAGUACUCUUUAUCAGAGCAGAAAACUGUGAGUAAGAGUGCCCAGAGGCCACUCAAGAAGCAGCGUAUGGCUGAUGCCUUUAAUAGUGCUGAAAAUGGUGAUGCAUCAAGUGAUAGCGAUAAGGAACAAAGUUUAACAACUUAUUAUUCUGGUGCAAUAGCGCUUGCAAAUUCACCUGAGGAAAAAAAGAAACGUGAAAAUCGCUCUAAGCGUUUUGAAAAAGCGCAAGGACAUCGAUCAGAAAGUAAUUACUUCAAACCAAAAAAUGCUGGAGCUGGAAACCUGUACAGUAAACGGGCUAGUGCCUUGAUGAUUAGCAAAAAUUUCGAUGAUGGUGGAAGCAGGGCUGUUGAAGAUAUUGACUGGGAUGCACUAACUGUUAAAGGGACCUGCCAAGAAAUUGAGAAACGAUAUUUGCGACUCACUUCUGCACCUGAUCCUUCCACUGUGAGGCCAGAAGAAGUGCUAGAGAAAGCUCUGCUUAUGAUUCAAAAUUCACAGAAGAACUACCUUUAUAAAUGUGAUCAGUUGAAGUCCAUUCGCCAAGAUCUAACUGUACAACGAAUACAAAAUCAGCUAACAGUUAAGGUCUAUGAAACUCAUGCUCGGUUAGCGAUGGAAGUAGGGGACUUGCCAGAGUAUAACCAGUGCCAAUCACAGUUAAAAACUCUCUAUGCUGAAGGAAUUGAAGGAUGCCAUAUGGAGUUUGCUGCUUACAACUUACUUUGUGUUAUCUUGCACUCUAAUAACAACCGAGAUCUUGUAUCAUCAAUGUCAAGAUUAACAGAGGAAGCAAAGAAGAAUAAAGCUGUUAAACAUGCUCUUGCAGUACGUGCAGCUGUCACCUCAGGAAACUAUGUUAUGUUCUUCAGACUUUACAAGACAGCUCCUAACUUGAACUCAUGCCUUAUGGAUCUUUAUGUUGAAAAAAUGCGAUAUAAGGCUGUAAGCUGCAUGUCCCGGUCAUAUCGCCCUACCGUACCUGUUUCGUACAUUGCAGAGGUUUUGGGCUUCUCCAGCACAGGUGAAGGAAAUGACCAGAAGGACUCGGAUGGAUUAGAGGAAUGUGUAGAAUGGUUGAAAGCACAUGGUGCAUGUCUCACUGUAGAUAGUAUCGGAGAGAUGCAGCUUGAUACAAAGGCUUCCUCUUCUAGUCUUUAUAUUCCAGAACCAGAGGAUGCUGUGUCCCAUGGAGAUGCUAGUCUGGCUGUUAAUGAUUUCCUGACAAGGACAUCCUUGUAGUCGAUAUGAUUGUGUAUCUAAUUGUAUUUGAUUGCAUUAGCAAGAAAAUCGUGCAGCCCUCAACAAUGUGAUGUAAAACCAGAAGAUUUAGGUUUAUUUCCUGAUCUUGGAACCGAGAGGUCAAAACUUGUAGAGGGUUACCUGUAACAGUAGCGAGGGUAGAUCACAGGCAUGAAAGGAAACAAAUACAGAAGUAGGGCAAAAGUUCCCUAGAAAUGCAAUGCUUAGUAUUUGCAGAGGGAUUGAGCUGGCUGCUACCACCACAGCAUGUGAUUUAGAUUCUUCCUUUUUGGGUCUUGAACAAUGAUUCAUUCUUUCUGUUGGGGAACAUGGAACAGAACUUGUUGAAUAUUAGUUUGAGGAAGAAAAUAAGAA